rnacentral:rRNA from 1 species
AGUGAACGCUGGCGGUAGGCCUAACACAUGCAAGUCGAACGGCAGCACAGUAAGAGCUUGCUCUUACGGGUGGCGAGUGGCGGACGGGUGAGGAAUACAUCGGAAUCUACUUUUUCGUGGGGGAUAACGUAGGGAAACUUACGCUAAUACCGCAUACGACCUACGGGUGAAAGCAGGGGAUCUUCGGACCUUGCGCGAUUGAAUGAGCCGACGUCGGAUUAGCUAGUUGGCGGGGUAAAGGCCCACCAAGGCGACGAUCCGUAGCUGGUCUGAGAGGAUGAUCAGCCACACUGGAACUGAGACACGGUCCAGACUCCUACGGGAGGCAGCAGUGGGGAAUAUUGGACAAUGGGCGCAAGCCUGAUCCAGCCAUACCGCGUGGGUGAAGAAGGCCUUCGGGUUGUAAAGCCCUUUUGUUGGGAAAGAAAAGCAGCAGGUUAAUACCCCGCUGUUCUGACGGUACCCAAAGAAUAAACACCGGCGAACUUCGU